rnacentral:lncRNA from 1 species
CAGGCGCGAGGGCGGCAGCGACCGCCUGAGAGACAGGGUCCCACCAUUUUGCCCAGGCUGGUCUCAAACUCCUGAGCCAAGUGAUCCACCUGCCUCAGCCUCCCAAAGCACUGGGAUGACAGGCGUGAGCCACCAUACCCGGCCCCAGCAGUACAAUCUGGAAGUCAUCAUUCCUUCCAUUUAUCUGGAAUUCCCAAGCUACCUUUGUCGGGAUGCAGGAAUUAAUGGAGUACACCAGCUUUUUAUCCUUAAAUGAACUUUGGGGAUUUUAGGCUUCCUGAUACUUUAAGCGUGUUGAGUAUAUUCUUACAAAUAGGAUUUGAGUUAUCUUUCUUUCUCUGCUGAGUUUCUUCAAAAAGUGUCAACUAUACCUGUGAAUAUUCUGAAUUCAUGGCCUUGUGUUUGUUUGCAUACAGUCAGGCAGGGCCGCCAGGGCCGCUCAGGGAGAGAGAACCCAGAAACCUGGCACGCCGGCAAAAGGGGAAGAAUUUCUUACGUCAGUCUCUGGCCUCUUUCUCUCUCUGCAAACUGGUGAAUCUCCUCUGUGAAGUUUUAAAUUAAUUGGUUUAAUAAUAAUAAGAGCUUAAAUCCAAUAUUUUGUCAGAAAAGUAGAAAGUGUAAUGCCCUUUAGUUCAUGUGACUUUAGCAAUCUUUGGGAAAUAAAAAUGGUUUUAAAGAUUAUUGGUAAAAUACAAAUGUCUUCAAAAUGUAAACGUAUGGUCUAAAAUAUGUUCAAAUAUUAGGUUUGCUAAAUGCUUUAAGGUCAUAAACUGUUUCUUUGGGUUUUGAAAAUUGUUGGACUUGCCUGCUUUCCAGCUAGGUAAGGUCUGGGGACUUGUGGAGUUGGCCACACCCCUGGCUGUGCUGGAAAUAGCCAAACUGUAUCAGAACAUAACUUACCAGGUCUUACAUUAAAAUUCACCAUUAUAACAUGCAAUUAAGACUGCUAGAAACAGCUUUACAUGCAAAGUGUGUAAGAACAGUAGAAUGUGUGUGUCUAUGUGUGUGUGUGUGUUUUUUGAGAUGGAGUUUCACUCUUGUUGCCCAGGCUGGAGUGCAAUGGCGCAAUCUCGGCUCACUGCAACCUCUGCCUCCUGGGCUCAAGUGAUUCUCCUGUCUCAGCCUCCUGAGUAGCUGGGAUUACAGGCACAUGCCACCAUGCCCAGCUGAUUUUUGUAUUUUUAGUAGGGACGGGGUUUCAUUAUAUUGGUCAGGCUGGUCUCAAACUCCUGACCUCAGGUGAUCCGCCCACCUCGGCCUCCCAAAGUGCUGGGAUUACAGGUGUGAGCCACCGCGGCCAGCCAUGUGUGUGUUUUUUAAAGAUUAUAAAAGGUUUUUCCUUCUUUAAAAUGUCUGAGUCAUCAUUUUGACAAAAUAAGUAAGUAAUGGUAAUCUGGAAUUUCAAAAUCAAACUUCAGUUUCAAAAUUGUCUUUCCUAAUGCCUGGCUUUCUUGGACGAAUCAGAGAGCCCCUGAAAGCAUCCAGAAAUGAGGUAAACAGAAUUAUUUGAUGUGUUUAGGUACACAGGAUUGCCACAAUUAUGCUCAAUCUUCUUUAGGUUGUAUUUUUGUGAAUAAUACUAAUAUAUAUUCCUAAAUUAUAUGAGAUUUCUAAAAUUCUAAUGUCUAAGUGUA